rnacentral:rRNA from 1 species
GGUUAAGCGACUAAGCGUACACGGUGGAUGCCCUGGCAGUCAGAGGCGAUGAAGGACGUGCUAAUCUGCGAUAAGCGCCGGUAAGGUGAUAUGAACCGUUAUAACCGGCGAUUUCCGAAUGGGGAAACCCAGUGUGAUUCGUCACACUAUCAUUAACUGAAUCCAUAGGUUAAUGAGGCGAACCGGGGGAACUGAAACAUCUAAGUACCCCGAGGAAAAGAAAUCAACCGAGAUUCCCCCAGUAGCGGCGAGCGAACGGGGAGGAGCCCAGAGCCUGAAUCAGCAUGUGUGUUAGUGGAAGCGUCUGGAAAGGCGCGCGAUACAGGGUGACAGCCCCGUACACAAAAGCGCAUGUGCUGUGAGCUCGAUGAGUAGGGCGGGACACGUGGUAUCCUGUCUGAAUAUGGGGGGACCAUCCUCCAAGGCUAAAUACUCCUGACUGACCGAUAGUGAACCAGUACCGUGAGGGAAAGGCGAAAAGAACCCCGGCGAGGGGAGUGAAAAAGAACCUGAAACCGUGUACGUACAAGCAGUGGGAGCACCCUUCGGGGUGUGACUGCGUACCUUUUGUAUAAUGGGUCAGCGACUUAUAUUCUGUAGCAAGGUUAACCGUAUAGGGGAGCCGGAGGGAAACCGAGUCUUAACCGGGCGUUAAGUUGCAGGGUAUAGACCCGAAACCCGGUGAUCUAGCCAUGGGCAGGUUGAAGGUUGGGUAACACUAACUGGAGGACCGAACCGACUAAUGUUGAAAAAUUAGCGGAUGACCUGUGGCUGGGGGUGAAAGGCCAAUCAAACCGGGAGAUAGCUGGUUCUCCCCGAAAGCUAUUUAGGUAGCGCCUCGUGAAUUCAUCUCCGGGGGUAGAGCACUGUUUCGGCUAGGGGGCCAUCCCGGCUUACCAACCCGAUGCAAACUGCGAAUACCGGAGAAUGUUAUCACGGGAGACACACGGCGGGUGCUAACGUCCGUCGUGAAGAGGGAAACAACCCAGACCGCCAGCUAAGGUCCCAAAGUCAUGGUUAAGUGGGAAACGAUGUGGGAAGGCCCAGACAGCCAGGAUGUUGGCUUAGAAGCAGCCAUCAUUUAAAGAAAGCGUAAUAGCUCACUGGUCGAGUCGGCCUGCGCGGAAGAUGUAACGGGGCUAAACCAUGCACCGAAGCUGCGGCAGCGAACGUAUCACCCAAGACAACUUUACGGAGUUGACGAUUGACGGAGCGAAGCGACGUCAAAGCGUUCAUUAAAGUCGAGUUGGCUUAGGGAUACGUUCGUUGGGUAGGGGAGCGUUCUGUAAGCCUGUGAAGGUGUGUCGUGAGGCAUGCUGGAGGUAUCAGAAGUGCGAAUGCUGACAUAAGUAACGAUAAAGCGGGUGAAAAGCCCGCUCGCCGGAAGACCAAGGGUUCCUGUCCAACGUUAAUCGGGGCAGGGUGAGUCGACCCCUAAGGCGAGGCCGAAAGGCGUAGUCGAUGGGAAACGGGUUAAUAUUCCCGUACUUGGUGUUACUGCGAAGGGGGGACGGAGAAGGCUAUGUUGGCCGGGCGACGGUUGUCCCGGUUUAAGCGUGUAGGUGUGUGUUCCAGGUAAAUCCGGUUCACUUUAACACUGAGGCGUGACGACGAGGCACUACGGUGCUGAAGCAACAAAUGCCCUGCUUCCAGGAAAAGCCUCUAAGCAUCAGGUAACAUCAAAUCGUACCCCAAACCGACACAGGUGGUCAGGUAGAGAAUACCAAGGCGCUUGAGAGAACUCGGGUGAAGGAACUAGGCAAAAUGGUGCCGUAACUUCGGGAGAAGGCACGCUGACACGUAGGUGAAGUGAUUUACUCAUGGAGCUGAAGUCAGUCGAAGAUACCAGCUGGCUGCAACUGUUUAUUAAAAACACAGCACUGUGCAAACACGAAAGUGGACGUAUACGGUGUGACGCCUGCCCGGUGCCGGAAGGUUAAUUGAUGGGGUCAGCGCAAGCGAAGCUCCUGAUCGUCGAAGCCCCGGUAAACGGCGGCCGUAACUAUAACGGUCCUAAGGUAGCGAAAUUCCUUGUCGGGUAAGUUCCGACCUGCACGAAUGGCGUAAUGAUGGCCAGGCUGUCUCCACCCGAGACUCAGUGAAAUUGAACUCGCUGUGAAGAUGCAGUGUACCCGCGGCAAGACGGAAAGACCCCGUGAACCUUUACUAUAGCUUGACACUGAACAUUGAGCCUUGAUGUGUAGGAUAGGUGGGAGGCUUUGAAGUGUGGACGCCAGUCUGCAUGGAGCCGACCUUGAAAUACCACCCUUUAAUGUUUGAUGUUCUAACGUGGACCCGUAAUCCGGGUUGCGGACAGUGUCUGGUGGGUAGUUUGACUGGGGCGGUCUCCUCCUAAAGAGUAACGGAGGAGCACGAAGGUUGGCUAAUCCUGGUCGGACAUCAGGAGGUUAGUGCAAUGGCAUAAGCCAGCUUGACUGCGAGCGUGACGGCGCGAGCAGGUGCGAAAGCAGGUCAUAGUGAUCCGGUGGUUCUGAAUGGAAGGGCCAUCGCUCAACGGAUAAAAGGUACUCCGGGGAUAACAGGCUGAUACCGCCCAAGAGUUCAUAUCGACGGCGGUGUUUGGCACCUCGAUGUCGGCUCAUCACAUCCUGGGGCUGAAGUAGGUCCCAAGGGUAUGGCUGUUCGCCAUUUAAAGUGGUACGCGAGCUGGGUUUAGAACGUCGUGAGACAGUUCGGUCCCUAUCUGCCGUGGGCGCUGGAGAACUGAGGGGGGCUGCUCCUAGUACGAGAGGACCGGAGUGGACGCAUCACUGGUGUUCGGGUUGUCAUGCCAAUGGCACUGCCCGGUAGCUAAAUGCGGAAGAGAUAAGUGCUGAAAGCAUCUAAGCACGAAACUUGCCCCGAGAUGAGUUCUCCCUGAGACUUAGAGUCUCCUGAAGGAACGUUGAAGACGACGACGUUGAUAGGCCGGGUGUGUAAGCGCAGCGAUGCGUUGAGCUAACCGGUACUAAUGAACCGUGAGGCUUAACCUU